GAUGAAGAACGUAGCGAAAUGCGAUACUUGGUGUGAAUUGCAGAAUCCCGUGAACCAUCGAGUCUUUGAACGCAAGUUGCGCCUCAAGCCAUUAGGUUGAGGGCACGUCUGCUGGGCGUCACAUAUCGUUGCCUGAUGCCAGUUUCCUCGUGAUGGGUGACUGUGCAGGGCGAAUGAUGGCUUCCCGUGAGCAUUGUUGCCUCAUGGUUGGUUGAAAAUUGAGUCCUUGGUAGGGAGCGCCGUGAUAGAUGGUGGUUGAGUGACGAACGAGACCCAAUCAUGUGAGACCCCUACCGAAUUUGGCCUUCAUGACCCACAUGCGUCUUUGGAACGCUCAUGACGAGACCUCAGGUCAGGCGGGGCUACCCGCUGAGUUUAAGCAUAUCAAUAAGCGGAGGA
rnacentral:misc_RNA from 1 species